rnacentral:rRNA from 1 species
CCUACGGGUGGCAGCAGUGAGGAAUAUUGGUCAAUGGACGAGAGUCUGAACCAGCCAAGUAGCGUGAAGGAUGACUGCCCUAUGGGUUGUAAACUUCUUUUAUGCAGGAAUAAAACGAGGCACGUGUGCCUUUUUGCAGGUACUUUAUGAAUAAGGACCGGCUAAUUCCGUGCCAGCAGCCGCGGUAAUACGGAGGAUCCGAGCGUUAUCCGGAUUUAUUGGGUUUAAAGGGAGCGUAGAUGGGUUGUUAAGUCAGUUGUGAAAGGUUGCGGCUCAACCGUAAAAUUGCAAUUGAUACUGGCAGUCUUGAGUACAGUUGAGGUAGGCGGAAUUCGUGGUGUAGCGGUGAAAUGCUUAGAUAUCACGAAGAACCCCGAUUGCGAAGGCAGCUUACUAAACUGUGACUGACAUUGAUGCUCGAAAGUGUGGGUAUCAAACAGGAUUAGAUACCCCAGUAGUC